ACUUGAGAUGAUUCCCGGCAGCUGAUAGCACAGAUCCUACCAGCGAACAGGGUGCUGCUUUAUUUUGGACUACAUAAGGUGAGGAGGGAGAAGGGUUCUGCGUCAGUCGAUCAUCAAGCUUGCUUCUAGCGCCUUCUACUGCUCACUCUCGCUUUACAGUGCUUGAAACACUACACACCGACCCAUUACAAUGGCCAAGGAGAACGGCGGAAAGUGCGGCAACUGCGACUGCGCAGCGGGCACCUGCGCCAAGGAGAAUGGCGGCAAGUGCGGCAACUGCGAUUGCGCCGCAGGAACCUGCGCGAAGGAGAAUGGAGGCAAGUGCGGCAACUGCGACUGCGCUGCUGGAACUUGUGCCAAGGAAUAGACUAUCACCAAACAUGAUCGAUAGAUCAGGAGUGUAGACAAAAAAAUAUAUAUCUAAAAAAGAAAAGAAAAAAAGGUCCAUGUACCACUUACAUGAAUCUGUAUGUAUUGUGAGACUUAUAUUCGCAGUUGCCGCACCAUGGAUUGGAUUAGAAAGGCUAGCUGCGACGGGGGUGUGAGCAAAAAACGGAGAAGUGUAGUUGCAAUUUAAGAAAAAUUUGUAUCGCGUGUGUUCAUUGAAUAAAACCAGAGUGUGCUCCGGCACACACCUCCUUCUUUGGA